rnacentral:rRNA from 1 species
CACUAUGCCUAGCCGUAAACAUAGACAGUUCAUACACCCCACUGUCCGCCCGGGAACUACGAGCGUUAGCUUAAAACCCAAAGGACUUGGCGGUGCUUUAUACCCACCUAGAGGAGCCUGUUCUAGAACCGAUAAUCCCCGUUCAACCUCACCCUUCCUUGUUCUUUCCGCCUAUAUACCGCCGUCGUCAGUUUACCCUGUGAAGGCCUAAUAGUAAGCAAAAUCGGCACAGCCCAAAACGUCAGGUCGAGGUGUAGCGUAUGGAAGGGGAAGAAAUGGGCUACAUUCCCUGUUACAGGGCAUACGAAUGAUUUUGCUGAAAUGCAUAUCUGAAGGAGGAUUUAGCAGUAAGCAGAAAGUAGAGAGUUCUGCUGAAGCCGGCUCUGAAGCGCGCACACACCGCCCGUCACUCUCCCCAGGCUAAAAUACUUAAAUAACUAAAACACCACAACUGCAAAGGGGAGGCAAGUCGUAA